UACGGGGGGUGCGAGCGUUGUCCGGAAUCACUGGGCGUAAAGGGCUCGUAGGCGGCCAACUAAGUCGGACGUGAAAUCCCCAGGCUCAACCUGGGAACUGCGUCUGAUACUGGAUGGCUUGAAUCCGGGAGAGGGAUGCAGAAUUCCAGGUGUAGCGGUGAAAUGCGUAGAUAUCUGGAGGAACACCGGUGGCGAAGGCGGCUUCCUGGACCGGUAUUGACGCUGAGGCGCGAAAGCCAGGGGAGCAAACGGG
rnacentral:rRNA from 1 species